GAUUGGUGGAUAACAAAAUUGGUCCUGACCUUUUGGCCUGUUCAGUUGCUGGCUGCUGACACCAAAUUUCAAGACGGAAGUUUUUCUUCGUGUGCUAUGUUCGGUGACAUGAGAUAAGGAGAUGUGGAAAUUCAGACCAGCCAACUGAGGUCCGAACCCUUGUUCUUCGAGGACUGCCUAUCAUGCUCGGAGAUGAAGACUCUUCUUUCUUCAAGUCAUCUUUAGUGUCUGAUCAUCAUAACACUAUCCUUGAUGUGCCAGUGGGGAUCUUAUUCGAGGACACUGAUCUUCAGCCCCCAAAAUCCUUGCAUUUGACUUCUUCGAUUGGAAUAAUUCUUGAAGGCCAAGUGGUGAUGGACAAAAUGCAGGACCUCCCACAGGCAAUCUGUCUUCUCUUCGGUCUGAUUUACACACUAGACCUGCAUUUCCCAAAAUCAUUUGCCAACACGUUUAAUUUCAUCCAGCGUGUACUAAUGUCAAUGGGACAAAAUGCUCAUAAGCCUAGAGUGUAGUCUCUGGCAAACCAGCUAUUUGCUUAAGAAACAUCACUGUGAUACUUAAACAUUGUAUUGGGUUUUUCUCCCCCUAGAUUUACUCAAUUAUCCAUUUUAUGAAGAAUAAAAAGUGUUUAAAUAGUUAAAUGCACAGAGUUCUUCAAUUGAUGUGCAGUUGUUAAUUUGAGAUAUUGUUGCCAUUGUUACACCUCUGUAAUGUGGUUGUGACCCGGUAAUAUUUCCAUUACAGUGUAGUUUGUACUGUAAUAUUGUGACAUUUGGACCAAAGACACUGAACAUGUUCAGUAUGUUAUUUUAGUUUGCCGUGUUUGCACAGAGCUUAAAUGGUGAAAUGCAGUAAGAAUGUAGUUCUUAUGUUUAGCCUACAUGUUCAGUACAUUUAACAAUUGUGAUGCGUAAAAAGAGAAAUUAUGAAGUGCACAGAGUUGUACAAAUGAUGUAAGUGCCUUUACACCUUUUACAGUGUUGUUGUGAACCAGUAAUAUUUCCACUACAGUAUAGUUUGUACUGUAAAACUGAAAUUCUGGAUAAAGACACUAUCUGUUGAGUAUGUUUUAUUUUAGUUUGCUAUGUUUGCACAAAGCUUAAACAGUCAAAUGUAAUAGUUAUGUUUACAUUAACAUAAUUGUGAUACUUGAGUGAAGUAUAUAUGUGCAAUGUAUGUUGUGCAAUUGAUGUACUGCACUAGUUAAUUUUGUUACCACCUUUACAUUGUGGCUGUGACCCAUUUCCAUUACAGUAUAGUGUUUACUGUAUUUUCAUUAAUAUUGUGACAUUGUCAAUAAAAAUUCAAAGAUUAAA